rnacentral:rRNA from 1 species
AGGGUGUAGGGCGGAUGCCUUGGCACUAGGAGCCGAUGAAAGACGUGAUAAGCUGCGAUAAGCUUCGGGGAGUGGCACAUACAUUUUGAUCCGAAGAUUUCUGAAUGAGGAAACUCACUUGGAGUAAUGUCCAAGUAUCCAUAGGUAAAUACAUAGCCUAUGGAGGGGAACUCAGGGAACUGAAACAUCUAAGUACCUGAAGGAAGAGAAAGAAAUUCGAUUCCGCUAGUAGCGGCGAGCGAACGCGGAAGAGCCCAAACCAGGUCAGUUUACUGAUUUGGGGUUGCGGACAUAUCUUAAGGAAAGGUUAUUGCGAGUAGAAUAGGUCUGGAAAGACCAACCACAGAGGGUAAAAGUCCCGUAUACAAAGCCAAGAAAGUUCUUGAUAUGAUCCAGAGUACCACGAGACACGUGAAACCUUGUGGGAAGCAGGGGGGACCACCCCCCAAGGCUAAAUACUACCUAGUGACCGAUAGCGAAUAGUACCGUGAGGGAAAGGUGAAAAGAACCCCGGGAGGGGAGUGAAAUAGAACCUGAAACCCUACACUUACAAGCUGUGGGAGCGCAUUAUUCGCGUGACCGCGUACUUUUUGUAGAACGGGCCAACGAGUUACGUUAUGUGGCAAGGUUAAGCACUUAAGGUGUGGAGCCGAAGCGAAAGCGAGUCUUAACUGGGCGAAUUAGUCACAUGACGUAGACCCGAAACCGGGCGACCUACCCAUGAGCAGGAUGAAGCGAAAGUAAAAUUUCGUGGAGGUCCGAACCCACGUACGUUGAAAAGUGCGGGGAUGACUUGUGGGUAGCGGUGAAAUUCCAAUCGAGCUCGGAGAUAGCUGGUUCUCCCCGAAAUAGCUUUAGGGCUAGCCUUGAAUGUAGAGAUGUGGAGGUAGAGCACUGAAUGUCCUAGGGGGUAUUGCACUUACCGAAGACUAUCAAACUCCGAAUGCCAUUAUCUUUUAUUCAGGAGUCAGACUAUGGGUGAUAAGGUUCAUAGUCGAAAGGGAAAGAGCCCAGACCGUCAGCUAAGGUCCCUAAAUGUAUGUUAAGUGGUAAAGGAUGUGGGAUUGCACAGACAACCAGGAUGUUGGCUUAGAAGCAGCCACUCAUUUAAAGAGUGCGUAAUAGCUCACUGGUCGAGUGAUCCUGCGCCGAAGAUUUCCGGGGCUAAAACAUACUACCGAAGCUACGGCAUCAUAUGAUGAUGGGUAGGGGAGCUUCCCAUGCAGGCUGAAGCGAUACCGUAAGGAGUCGUGGACAGUAUGGGAGAGAGAAUGUUGGCAUGAGUAGCGAGAUGAGGGUGAGAAUCCCUCAGGCCGUAAACCCAAGGUUUCCAGGGGAAGGUUCGUCCACCCUGGGUUAGUCGGGACCUAAGCUCAGGCCGAAAGGCGUAGGCGAUGGACAACAGGUUGAGAUUCCUGUACUACCAAUAAUCGUUUGAGAGAAGGGAUGACACAGUAGGAUAAGCUGAGCACACUGUUGGUUAAGUGUGUCUAAGCGUUGAGGCAGACUAGAUAGGCAAAUCCGUUUAGUUAAUGCUGGGGCGCGAUGGGGAGCGAAACUAAGUAGCGAAGCAGCUGAUUUCACACUGUCGAGAAAAGUCUCUAUCGAGAUUAAAGGUACCCGUACCGCAAACCGACACAGGUGGGUGAGGAGAGUAUCCUAAGGCCAGCGAGAGAACUGUUGUUAAGGAACUCGGCAAAAUGACCCCGUAACUUAGGGAUAAGGGGUGCCCCAGCAAUGGGGCCGCAGAGAAUUGGCCCAAGCGACUGUUUACCAAAAACAUAGGUUUCUGCUAAGUCGCAAGACGAUGUAUAGGAGCUGACGCCUGCCCGGUGCUGGAAGGUUAAGGGGAUCUGUAAGAGCAAUCGAAGCAGUGAUCUUAAGCCCCAGUAAACGGCGGCCGUAACUAUAACGGUCCUAAGGUAGCGAAAUUCCUUGUCGGGUAAGUUCCGACCCGCACGAAAGGCGUAACGAUUUGGGCACUGUCUCAACAACAGACUCGGUGAAAUUGUAAUCCCGGUGAAGAUGCCGGGUACCUGCGACAGGACGGAAAGACCCCAUGGAGCUUUACUGUAGCUUGACAUUGGGUUUCGAUACUACAUGUACAGGAUAGGUGGGAGACUAUGAAAUCAGGGCGUCAGUUUUGAUGGAGUCAUCCUUGGGAUACCACCCUUGUAGUAUUGGGACUCUAACCAUAGGCCAUGAAUCUGGUCUUGGGACACUGUCUGGUGGG